UUAAGCGACUAAGCGUACACGGUGGAUGCCCUGGCAGUCAGAGGCGAUGAAGGACGUGCUAAUCUGCGAUAAGCGUCGGUAAGGUGAUAUGAACCGUUAUAACCGGCGAUUUCCGAAUGGGGAAACCCAGUGUGAUUCGUCACACUAUCAUUAACUGAAUCCAUAGGUUAAUGAGGCGAACCGGGGGAACUGAAACAUCUAAGUACCCCGAGGAAAAGAAAUCAACCGAGAUUCCCCCAGUAGCGGCGAGCGAACGGGGAGCAGCCCAGAGCCUGAAUCAGUGUGUGUGUUAGUGGAAGCGUCUGGAAAGGCGCGCGAUACAGGGUGACAGCCCCGUACACAAAAAUGCACAUGCUGUGAGCUCGAUGAGUAGGGCGGGACACGUGGUAUCCUGUCUGAAUAUGGGGGGACCAUCCUCCAAGGCUAAAUACUCCUGACUGACCGAUAGUGAACCAGUACCGUGAGGGAAAGGCGAAAAGAACCCCGGCGAGGGGAGUGAAAAAGAACCUGAAACCGUGUACGUACAAGCAGUGGGAGCACGCUUAGGCGUGUGACUGCGUACCUUUUGUAUAAUGGGUCAGCGACUUAUAUUCUGUAGCAAGGUUAACCGAAUAGGGGAGCCGAAGGGAAACCGAGUCUUAACUGGGCGUUAAGUUGCAGGGUAUAGACCCGAAACCCGGUGAUCUAGCCAUGGGCAGGUUGAAGGUUGGGUAACACUAACUGGAGGACCGAACCGACUAAUGUUGAAAAAUUAGCGGAUGACUUGUGGCUGGGGGUGAAAGGCCAAUCAAACCGGGAGAUAGCUGGUUCUCCCCGAAAGCUAUUUAGGUAGCGCCUCGUGAAUUCAUCUCCGGGGGUAGAGCACUGUUUCGGCAAGGGGGUCAUCCCGACUUACCAACCCGAUGCAAACUGCGAAUACCGGAGAAUGUUAUCACGGGAGACACACGGCGGGUGCUAACGUCCGUCGUGAAGAGGGAAACAACCCAGACCGCCAGCUAAGGUCCCAAAGUCAUGGUUAAGUGGGAAACGAUGUGGGAAGGCCCAGACAGCCAGGAUGUUGGCUUAGAAGCAGCCAUCAUUUAAAGAAAGCGUAAUAGCUCACUGGUCGAGUCGGCCUGCGCGGAAGAUGUAACGGGGCUAAACCAUGCACCGAAGCUGCGGCAGCGACGCUGAUGCGUUGUUGGGUAGGGGAGCGUUCUGUAAGCCUGCGAAGGUGUGCUGUGAGGCAUGCUGGAGGUAUCAGAAGUGCGAAUGCUGACAUAAGUAACGAUAAAGCGGGUGAAAAGCCCGCUCGCCGGAAGACCAAGGGUUCCUGUCCAACGUUAAUCGGGGCAGGGUGAGUCGACCCCUAAGGCGAGGCCGAAAGGCGUAGUCGAUGGGAAACAGGUUAAUAUUCCUGUACUUGGUGUUACUGCGAAGGGGGGACGGAGAAGGCUAUGUUGGCCGGGCGACGGUUGUCCCGGUUUAAGCGUGUAGGCUGGUUUUCCAGGCAAAUCCGGAAAAUCAAGGCUGAGGCGUGAUGACGAGGCACUACGGUGCUGAAGCAACAAAUGCCCUGCUUCCAGGAAAAGCCUCUAAGCAUCAGGUAACAUCAAAUCGUACCCCAAACCGACACAGGUGGUCAGGUAGAGAAUACCAAGGCGCUUGAGAGAACUCGGGUGAAGGAACUAGGCAAAAUGGUGCCGUAACUUCGGGAGAAGGCACGCUGAUAUGUAGGUGAAGUCCCUCGCGGAUGGAGCUGAAAUCAGUCGAAGAUACCAGCUGGCUGCAACUGUUUAUUAAAAACACAGCACUGUGCAAACACGAAAGUGGACGUAUACGGUGUGACGCCUGCCCGGUGCCGGAAGGUUAAUUGAUGGGGUCAGCGCAAGCGAAGCUCUUGAUCGAAGCCCCGGUAAACGGCGGCCGUAACUAUAACGGUCCUAAGGUAGCGAAAUUCCUUGUCGGGUAAGUUCCGACCUGCACGAAUGGCGUAAUGAUGGCCAGGCUGUCUCCACCCGAGACUCAGUGAAAUUGAACUCGCUGUGAAGAUGCAGUGUACCCGCGGCAAGACGGAAAGACCCCGUGAACCUUUACUAUAGCUUGACACUGAACAUUGAGCCUUGAUGUGUAGGAUAGGUGGGAGGCUUUGAAGUGUGGACGCCAGUCUGCAUGGAGCCGACCUUGAAAUACCACCCUUUAAUGUUUGAUGUUCUAACGUUGACCCGUAAUCCGGGUUGCGGACAGUGUCUGGUGGGUAGUUUGACUGGGGCGGUCUCCUCCUAAAGAGUAACGGAGGAGCACGAAGGUUGGCUAAUCCUGGUCGGACAUCAGGAGGUUAGUGCAAUGGCAUAAGCCAGCUUGACUGCGAGCGUGACGGCGCGAGCAGGUGCGAAAGCAGGUCAUAGUGAUCCGGUGGUUCUGAAUGGAAGGGCCAUCGCUCAACGGAUAAAAGGUACUCCGGGGAUAACAGGCUGAUACCGCCCAAGAGUUCAUAUCGACGGCGGUGUUUGGCACCUCGAUGUCGGCUCAUCACAUCCUGGGGCUGAAGUAGGUCCCAAGGGUAUGGCUGUUCGCCAUUUAAAGUGGUACGCGAGCUGGGUUUAGAACGUCGUGAGACAGUUCGGUCCCUAUCUGCCGUGGGCGCUGGAGAAUUGAGGGGGGCUGCUCCUAGUACGAGAGGACCGGAGUGGACGCAUCACUGGUGUUCGGGUUGUCAUGCCAAUGGCACUGCCCGGUAGCUAAAUGCGGAAGAGAUAAGUGCUGAAAGCAUCUAAGCACGAAACUUGCCCCGAGAUGAGUUCUCCCUGACUCCUUGAGAGUCCUGAAGGAACGUUGAAGACGACGACGUUGAUAGGCCGGGUGUGUAAGCGCAGCGAUGCGUUGAGCUAACCGGUACUAAUGAACCGUGAGGCUUAACCUU
rnacentral:rRNA from 1 species